AUUGAACGCUGGCGGCGUGCUUAACACAUGCAAGUCGAACGAAGUGGCGAACGGGUGAGUAACGCGUAAUCAACCUGCCCUUCAGAGGGGGACAACAGUUGGAAACGACUGCUAAUACCGCAUACUGAAGGAGGGGAUUGCGUCUGAUUAGCUAGUUGGAGGGGUAACGGCCCACCAAGGCGAUGAUCAGUAGCUGGUCUGAGAGGAUGAACGGGCACAUUGGGACUGAGAAACGGCCCAGACUCCUACGGGAGGCAGCAGUGGGGAAUCUGCCGCAAUGGACGGAAGUCUGACGGAGCAACGCCGCGUGAGUGAUGACGGCCGUCGGGUUGUAAAGCUCUGUUAAUCGGGACGCGGUACCGAAAUAGAAAGCCACGGCUAACUACGUGCCAGCAGCCGCGGUAAUAC
rnacentral:rRNA from 1 species